rnacentral:misc_RNA from 1 species
UCCCCGUUACCGAGGCAGUCUAGCUAGAGAAAUUCAACUAGCUACAAGGGUUGCGCUCGUUGAUGGACUUAACCAAACAUCUCACGACACGAGCUGACGACGGCCAUGCAACACCUGUCAUCUGGUUCCCGAAGGCACAGCCUGCUUUCACAGGCCUUCCAGAGAUGUCAAACCCUGGUAAGGUUCUACGCUUACCAUCGAAUUAAACAACACGCUCCACCGCUUGUGCGGGUCCCCGUCAAUUCCUUUAUGUUUUAAGCUUGCGCUCGUACUCCACAGGCGGGAUGCUUAACGCGUUAGCUUCGCUACUACCAGGGUCGAUACUGAUAACAGCUAGCAUCCAUAGUUUACGGCGUGGACUAC